GAUGAACGCUGGCGGCGUGCCUAAUACAUGCAAGUCGAGCGAACAGAUGAGGAGCUUGCUCCUCUGACGUUAGCGGCGGACGGGUGAGUAACACGUGGAUAACCUACCUAUAAGACUGGGAUAACUUCGGGAAACCGGCGCUAAUACCGGAUAAUAUAUUGAACCGCAUGGUUCAAUAGUGAAAGACGGUUUUGCUGUCACUUAUAGAUGGAUCCGCGCCGCAUUAGCUAGUUGGUAAGGUAACGGCUUACCAAGGCAACGAUGCGUAGCCGACCUGGGAGGGUGAUCGGCCGCACUGGAACUGAGACACGGUCCAGACUCCUACGGGAGGCAGCAGUAGGGAAUCUUCCGCAAUGGGCGAAGGCCUGACGGAGCAACGCCGCGUGAGUGAUGAAGGUCUUCGGAUCGUAAAACUCUGUUAUUAGGGAAGAACAAAUGUGUAAGUAACUAUGCACGUCUUGACGGUACCUAAUCAGAAAGCCACGGCUAACUACGUG
rnacentral:rRNA from 1 species